CAGGGGGCGUGGCCGGGCCAGAACCGCCUGGAGGGCUCUGCUGCCUCGUGAGGAUGAUAGGAAAGAGCUCCAAUGACUGGGAGUUGAAGAAAAGGGGAAGUUCUGUGGAGUUUUAAGGACCAACACAACUGUAACAAUGGAAGAUACUGAAUUUUCAGUCUGCAGUCACUUAAAUACAAACUAACAUGCCUGACUGAGUCAACAGAAGGAAGUCAGUAAGCUCUAAAAUAGCACCAAGUCAUCCAUACAUAUUACUUCACAUGGGAACAUUCAAAUAUACAGACCAUUUACUAUAUUAUCACCAAUUCAGAAGAACUGAAAGAUUCAUGAAAAGACAAAG